CCUACGGGUGGCUGCAGUGGGGAAUAUUGGACAAUGGGCGAAAGCCUGAUCCAGCCAUGCCGCGUGUGUGAAGAAGGCCUUCGGGUUGUAAAGCACUUUCAGUGGGGAAGAAAGCCUUGGGGCUAAUACCCUCGAGGAAGGACAUCACCCACAGAAGAAGCACCGGCUAACUCCGUGCCAGCAGCCGCGGUAAUACGGAGGGUGCGAGCGUUAAUCGGAAUUACUGGGCGUAAAGCGCGCGUAGGCGGUCUGAUAAGCCGGUUGUGAAAGCCCCGGGCUCAACCUGGGAACGGCAUCCGGAACUGUCAGGCUAGAGUGCAGGAGAGGAAGGUAGAAUUCCCGGUGUAGCGGUGAAAUGCGUAGAGAUCGGGAGGAAUACCGGUGGCGAAGGCGGCCUUCUGGACUGACACUGACGCUGAGGUGCGAAAGCGUGGGUAGCAAACAGGAUUAGAUACCUGGUAGUC
rnacentral:rRNA from 1 species